UAGGGAAUAUUGGACAAUGGGCGCAAGCCUGAUCCAGCCAUGCCGCGUGAGUGAAGAAGGCCCUCGGGUUGUAAAGCUCUUUUGUCCGGAAAGAAAAGCAUCGGGUUAAUACCCCGGUGUUAUGACGGUACCGACAGAAAAAGCACCGGCUAACUACGUGCCAGCAGCCGCGGUAAUACGUAGGGUGCGAGCGUUAAUCGGAAUUACUGGGCGUAAAGGGUGCGCAGGCGGUCUUGCAAGUCAGAUGUGAAAGCCCCGGGCUUAACCUGGGAAUUGCGUUUGAAACUACAAGACUAGAGUGCAGCAGAGGGGAGUGGAAUUCCAUGUGUAGCAGUGAAAUGCGUAGAGAUGUGGAAGAACACCGAUGGCGAAGGCAGCUCCCUGGGUUGACACUGACGCUCAUGCACGAAAGCGUGGGGAGCAAACA
rnacentral:rRNA from 1 species